rnacentral:rRNA from 1 species
AGCGAAACGGCAGGAGGGCAAACCGAAGAGUUUACUCUUCGGGGUUGUAGGACUGCAAUGUGGACUCAAAGAUUAUAGAAGAAUGAUUUGGGAAGAUCAGCCAAAGAGAGUAAUAGCCUCGUAUUUAAAAUAGUCUUUGUACUUAGCAGUAUCCUGAGUACGGCGGGACACGUGAAAUCCCGUCGGAAUCUGGGAGGACCAUCUCCCAACCCUAAAUACUCCCUAGUGACCGAUAGUGAACCAGUACCGUGAGGGAAAGGUGAAAAGCACCCCGGGAGGGGA